rnacentral:rRNA from 1 species
ACCAGACUCCUACGGGAGGCAGCAGUGAGGAAUAUUGGUCAAUGGCCGAGAGGCUGAACCAGCCAAGUCGCGUGAGGGAAGACGGCCCUACGGGUUGUAAACCUCUUUUGUCGGGGAGCAAAGAGAGUCACGUGUGACUCAUUGAGAGUACCCGAAGAAAAAGCAUCGGCUAACUCCGUGCCAGCAGCCGCGGUAAUACGGAAGGUCCGGGCGUUAUCCGGAUUUAUUGGGUUUAAAGGGAGCGUAGGCCGCAUGUUAAGCGUGUCGUGAAAUGCCGUGGCUCAACCAUGGCACUGCGGCGUGAACUGGCUUGCUUGAGUGCGCGGAACGUAUGCGGAAUUCGUGGUGUAGCGGUGAAAUGCUUAGAUAUCACGCAGAACUCCGAUUGCGAAGGCAGCAUACCGGCGCCCAACUGACGCUGAAGCACGAAAGCGUGGGUAUCGAACAGGAUUAGAUACCCCUGUAC